rnacentral:rRNA from 1 species
UGGGGAAUCUUGGACAAUGGGGGCAACCCUGAUCCAGCCAUGCCGCGUGAGUGAUGAAGGCCUUAGGGUCGUAAAGCUCUUUCGCCUGUGAAGAUAAUGACGGUAGCAGGUAAAGAAACCCCGGCUAACUCCGUGCCAGCAGCCGCGGUAAUACGGAGGGGGUUAGCGUUGUUCGGAAUUACUGGGCGUAAAGCGCACGUAGGCGGACCAGAAAGUUGGGGGUGAAAUCCCGGGGGCUCAACCCCGGAACUGCCUCCAAAACUAUUGGUCUAGAGUUCGAGAGAGGUGAGUGGAAUUCCAAGUGUAGAGGUGAAAUUCGUAGAUAUUUGGAGGAACACUAGUGGCGAAGGCGGCUCACUGGCUCGAUACUGACGCUGAGGUGCGAAAGUGUGGGGAGCAAACAGGAUUAGAUA